CCUGCAUCCUGGUUGCAUACAUUUACAGGACUCGAAUCUUAGCAGCUACAUGUCAAAAAUGCCUGGUACCUACAGGAUAAUGUGCAUAUAUCUGCUCUAUGCAUAGGAAAGAUAUUAAUACAUAUUUUCAUCUGGAAAUUUGAUAGGCUUCAAAAAGAAUCUGGGAAUAUAGGACAAAAACAGAAUGAAUGGAAGAAGGGGAAAGAGGAGAGAGUUGAGAGGUAUCAUGGGAAAUCAUCCCUGAAGACUUUGAGGCAAAAAUAGGUCAAUGCUUCAAAAAGCCAGUCAAUGCCCAUUCCUGCUACUCUAACCUGGCUUCAUCCACUGUCUUGGAGAGCAGCACAGCAGCUUUUAAGGGACUACAGUUCUUCUAACUCCAAGGACAGAUAUGGAGAAGAAAUUGCUGAAAAGGGGGAAAGAACAAUGACAGAUAUUGGGCAGAUAUGUUAG
rnacentral:lncRNA from 1 species